rnacentral:rRNA from 1 species
AGAGUUUGAUCCUGGCUCAGAACGUACGCUGGCGGCACGCCUAAUACAUGCAAGUCGAACGAAGUAGCAAUACUUAGUGGCAGACGGGUGAGUAACAUGUAGGUAUCUACCCUUUGGUCUGGAAUAACACGAGGAAACUUGUGCUAAUACCGGAUAAGUCUUUACGGAGAAAGCUUUAUGCACCAUUGGAUGAGCCUGCACUUGAUUAGUUUGUUGGUGGGGUAAUGGCCUACCAAGACAAUGAUCAAUAGCUGAUUUGAGAGGAUGAUCAGCCACAUUGGGACUGAGACACGGCCCAAACUCCUACGGGAGGCAGCAGUAGGGAAUCUUGCACAAUGGAGGAAACUCUGAUGCAGCGAUGCCGCGUGAGUGAAGAAGGCCUUUGGGUUGUAAAGCUCUUUCGUCGGGGAAGAAAAUGACUGUACCCGAAUAAGAAGGUCCGGCUAACUUCGUGCCAGCAGCCGCGGUAAUACGAAGGGACCUAGCGUAGUUCGGAAUUACUGGGCUUAAAGAGUUCGUAGGUGGUUAAAAAAGUUGGUGGUGAAAUCCCAGAGCUUAACUCUGGAACUGCCAUCAAAACUUUUUAGCUAGAGUAUGGUAGAGGAAAGCAGAAUUUCUAGUGUAGAGGUGAAAUUCGUAGAUAUUAGAAAGAAUACCAAUUGCGAAGGCAGCUUUCUGGAUCAUUACUGACACUGAGGAACGAAAGCAUGGGUAGCGAAGAGGAUUAGAUACCCUCGUAGUCCAUGCCGUAAACGAUGUGUGUUAGACGUUGGAAAUUUAUUUUCAGUGUCGCAGCGAAAGCGAUAAACACACCGCCUGGGGAGUACGACCGCAAGGUUAAAACUCAAAUGAAUUGACGGGGACCCGCACAAGUAGUGGAGCAUGUGGUUUAAUUCGAAGAUACGCGCAGAACCUUACCAACACUUGACAUGUUCGUCGCGACUCUAAGAGAUUAGAGUUUUCGGUUCGGCCGGACGAAACACAGGUGCUGCAUGGCUGUCGUCAGCUCGUGUCGUGAGAUGUUGGGUUAAGUCCCGCAACGAGCGCAACCCUUACUUUUAGUUGCCACCAUUUAGUUGGGCACUCUGAAAGAACUGCCAGUGAUAAGCUGGAGGAAGGUGGGGAUGACGUCAAGUCCUCAUGGCCCUUAUGUGUUGGGCUACACACGUGCUACAAUGGCAUUUACAACAGGAAGCAAGAUGGCGACAUUAAGCAAAUCCUAAAAAAAUGCCUCAGUUCGGAUUGUACUCUGCAACUCGAGUACAUGAAGCUGGAAUUACUAGUAAUCGUGGAUCAGCGUGCCACGGUGAAUACGUUCCCGGGUCUUGUACACACCGCCCGUCACACCAUGGGAGUUGGUUCUACCUUAAGGCAAGGUUUAAUACCCUUGACCACGGUAUAGUCAGCGACUGGGGUGAAGUCGUAACAAGGUAACC